rnacentral:lncRNA from 1 species
UCAGAUGUAAUGGAACUCCUGAAAUCCGGCUAUGGUUCGCCUGAAGUUGUGUGCGGAGUUAAGACAGAUGCUAACUAAGAUGGCAAGAGGACAUAUGUAUCUCCUUUAUACAGUUGUGUUGUGUUGCAUUGUCGGCAAGAGUUGCAUUGGAGGAUUUAACUUGUGCGUUCCUAUCUGUUAAGGAAUAUUUCUGAGUUUAUGGAAUUGAUGGGACGUUAACUCUUGCAGAUGGCGCAGUGCACUAGGUCCGGCUCUGUGCCCAGCAGCAGCGAGCCAAGACAAG